UCUCUCUCUUAACAGACCUCCCUCUCUCUCUUCACGGACCUCCCUCUCUCUCUUCGCGGACCUCCCUCUCUCUAUGUUUAGCAGUGUUUAGCAGUAGCGAUGGACGCGAUGCAGCAGUAGCAAUGGACGCGAUGGCAGCAAUGCAGCAGCCAUUGAAGCCCCUGGGCUUGAGCAUCGCCUCUCUCUCUUUAUCAGCCAUUGAAGCCCUCUCAGCCCACACAGAGGGAUGGACACCUCUCUCUCUAUAGCUACAACAGCAGCAUCACAUCCCUCUCUCUCUCUCUCUAUAUGCAGUCAUUGAAGCCCCUGAGCUUGGGCAUCUCUCUCGUUUUAGUAACUAUUGAAGCCCUCUGAGCACACACAGAAAUAGUAGCCCUCUCGUCCCUCACCAAUAGCAACUAUUGAAGCCUUCUCACUCUCUCAAAAAAAACCCUGGCUGGCCUCCCAACUGUAGCCCACCCCAUCUCUAAAGGCAGAGAGGACAAUUCAUAUGGAACAACUUCAAAGGAGGGGCUCUGUUGCUGUUUUUUUUUGAAAAGUUUGUUGUUAAACUAUUGCCAUUAUUGAUGUAGGUUUUAUGCCAUUCACUCAAAGAAAAGACAUAGGUUGUAUGCCAUUGUACUCUUUUCACUUCUUUUUGGGUUGUUAGGUGAUAUGUAAAGUGAUUGGGUACAAGGAACGAACCAUUAUUUGAUAAUGGGCAGGACUACUGAACUUUAUAUGAAUAAUUUUGUUAUUGAAUGGACUACCCCAUUUGGCAGGUAGUUGAUGAAUUGUAUGUAAUAUUAUAGUUAUCAAAUGCAAUGUAUUAUCACUAUGGCAA